rnacentral:rRNA from 1 species
UACAGAGGUCUCAAGCGUUGUUCGGAUUCAUUGGGCGUAAAGGGUGCGUAGGCGGAUUGCUAAGUCAGGGGUGAAAUCCUGGAGCUCAACUCCAGAACUGCCUUUGAUACUGGCGAUCUCGAGUCCGGGAGAGGUGAGUGGAACUGCGAGUGUAGAGGUGAAAUUCGUAGAUAUUCGCAAGAACACCAGUGGCGAAGGCGGCUCACUGGCCCGGUACUGACGCUGAGGUGCGAAAGCGGUGGGGAGCAAACAGGG